UGCCCCUCCGUUCAUCAAGCUGUUUCACGCGGUAGAGCAGGCUUUGGACAUCUUCCUUGUCGUCGGAAUCUGCUACGGUGAACAGUUCUUGCGGGUCAACUUUAAAGGUCUUUUGGAUCAGCUGGAUGAUGCGCUGCAAAUGUUCGGACACGUAGCCGUCAAAAUGUUGAAUCAACGAAAAUUAUUUGCGAUCAUUGCGAUUUUAGCAAAUUUGGCUGUACAAGUACUGGUAGUGUUGAGUGCAUUGUAUACUGAACAAAACAUCCGUUUAGUUCCACUACUAGUAACAGUUUACGUUCCACUAACAUUGACCGUUGUAUUUGUUCAAAUGUAUUGUUUUGUGGUAACCAGUAUUGCAAGGAUGAUCCAAGAAAUCAACAAUAGUUUGGAGAUACUCGUGAAGCGUUACAACGAACCAUUCAACCAGGAAAAACCACCAUACCAUGAGAUCUCUCGUCUAAGGAAGAUACACCUUCAAAUUGUCGACCUAUUGGAACAGAUUAAUGACGCCACCGGAGUGAUCAUAAUAUCAAUCUUGAGUUCCACAUUCGCCAACAUGAAUAGUCACAGCCUGUUCUUGUACACUAAGAUUAAGGUCGACGUAAGACCACCUGGAUUUACGCGUUCCAUAAUUGAAAUUUGCUUGCUAAUGCUGCUGAGGAUUCUAAAAGUCCUUACAGUGAUUGUUCCAAACAGUUUGGUGAAAAUGGAAAAUCACAAAACGGCAAAAAUAUUGUGCAAGUUCGAAGAUUCCGGGAAUGAAAAGUUCAACUGGGUGAUUAGCAAGUACUUGCAGCAACUAAACGAACAAAGGGAAGUUUUCUCGGCCUGUGGAUUGAUUCAGUUGGAUUUGCCACUGUUUGUUACGAUGACUGGAGCUCUGGUUACUUACAUGAUUAUUUUGAUUCAAUUUAACGAUAGUUUAUCGCCGACGGAAAGGCCUGUACUAACAACACUCAAUCCU